AUGUAUGUGCGCAAUCUUGCGAGACGUUUCCACCACAAGAAAACCCCGGCACUGCUCUUCAAGCUAGAUAUCAAGAAAGCCUUCGACUCUAUUCGUUGGGACUAUCUUCUUGACCUUCUUCAGCACCUUGGUUUUCCUCAGCGCUUUCGAGGAUGGAUCUCAACUCUCCUCUUCUCGGCUUUAUCGUGAGUUCUGCUCAAUGGGGUUCCUGGCACUCCUAUCAAGCUUGGGAAGGGUCUGAGGCAAGAAGAUCCUAUAUCCCCACUCCUUUUUCUGCUGGCCAUCGACCCACUACAUCACAUUCUCAAGAAAGCCACUGCUCAAGGAAAGUUGCACCCUCUUGAUGGCAAUGCCAUGCCUAUCAGAGCCUCCCUCUACGCGGAUGAUGCGGCGGUUUUCCUUGCGCCCAUCAAAAUCGAGGUCAAGUUUUUUGCGGAUACGUUUGCACAAUUUGGGGAAGUGACGGGGCUAACAACGAACUGCUCUAAAAGUCUUGUUGCCCCCAUUUGA
rnacentral:rRNA from 1 species